UUCUAGCCCAGAUUGCAGUGGAAAGCCCGGAAUAAAAAAAGCUGAUUUUUCUUGCCAUAAAACAGCGACCGGAGGAAGCUCGUUUUGUGGCUUAGAAAAAUAGCUUGUUUUAUGUCCCGAUAACUAUCGGGAUGAAACGGAAAGCUGGAAUAGCU
rnacentral:misc_RNA from 1 species